UUGAUCCUGGCUCAGGAUGAACGCUAGCUACAGGCUUAACACAUGCAAGUCGAGGGGCAGCAUUUCAGUUUGCUUGCAAACUGGAGAUGGCGACCGGCGCACGGGUGAGUAACACGUAUCCAACCUGCCGAUAACUCGGGGAUAGCCUUUCGAAAGAAAGAUUAAUACCCGAUGGUAUAAUUAGACCGCAUGGUCUUGUUAUUAAAGAAUUUCGGUUAUCGAUGGGGAUGCGUUCCAUUAGGCAGUUGGUGAGGUAACGGCUCACCAAACCUUCGAUGGAUAGGGGUUCUGAGAGGAAGGUCCCCCACAUUGGAACUGAGACACGGUCCAAACUCCUACGGGAGGCAGCAGUGAGGAAUAUUGGUCAAUGGGCGCAGGCCUGAACCAGCCAAGUAGCGUGAAGGAUGACUGCCCUAUGGGUUGUAAACUUCUUUUAUAUGGGAAUAAAGUUUUCCACGUGUGGAAUUUUGUAUGUACCAUAUGAAUAAGGAUCGGCUAACUCCGUGCCAGCAGCCGCGGUAAUACGGAGGAUCCGAGCGUUAUCCGGAUUUAUUGGGUUUAAAGGGAGCGUAGGUGGACAGUUAAGUCGGUUGUGAAAGUUUGCGGCUCAACCGUAAAAUUGCAGUUGAUACUGGCUGUCUUGAGUACAGUAGAGGUGGGCGGAAUUCGUGGUGUAGCGGUGAAAUGCUUAGAUAUCACGAAGAACUCCGAUUGCGAAGGCAGCUCACUGGACUGCAACUGACACUGACGCUCGAAAGUGUGGGUAUCAAACAGGAUUAGAUACCCUGGUAGUCCACACAGUAAACGAUGAAUACUCGCUGUUUGCGAUAUACAGUAAGCGGCCAAGCGAAAGCAUUAAGUAUUCCACCUGGGGAGUACGCC
rnacentral:rRNA from 1 species